rnacentral:tRNA from 1 species
UCUAAGGAUAUAUGGAGCAGCGUAUGUUUUCGUCUUGUUUAGUUUUGAAGGAACUUGCAAAAGAUCCUACAACAUCAUAUCUUCGAUAUGAAAGAUGGGCCUGUAGCUCAGCUGGUUAGAGCGCACGCCUGAUAAGCGUGAGGUCGGUGGUUCGAGUCCAUUUAGGCCCACC